rnacentral:rRNA from 1 species
GAUGAACGCUAGCGGGAGGCCUAACACAUGCAAGCCGAGCGGUAUUUGUCCUUCGGGACAGAGAGAGCGGCGUACGGGUGCGGAACACGUGUGCAACCUGCCUUUAUCUGGGGGAUAGCCUUUCGAAAGGAAGAUUAAUACCCCAUAAUAUAUCGAAUGGCAUCAUUCGAUAUUGAAAACUCCGGUGGAUAGAGAUGGGCACGCGCAAGAUUAGAUAGUUGGUGAGGUAACGGCUCACCAAGUCAGUGAUCUUUAGGGGGCCUGAGAGGGUGAUCCCCCACACUGGUACUGAGACACGGACCAGACUCCGACGGGAGGCAGCAGUGAGGAAUAUUGGACAAUGGGGGAGAGCCUGAUCCAGCCAUCCCGCGUGAAGGACUAAGGACCUAUGGGUUGUAAACUUCUUUUAUACUGGGAUAAACCUACUUACGUGUAAGUAGCUGAAGGUACAGUAUGAAUAAGCACCGGCUAACUCCGUG